UGCUCCCGUAGCUCAGGGGAUAGAGCACCGCCCUCCGGAGGCGGGUGCGAGGGUUCGAAUCCCUCCGGGAGCGCCC
rnacentral:tRNA from 1 species